rnacentral:rRNA from 1 species
AGCUCCAAUAGCGUAUAUUAAAGUUGUUGCGGUUAAAAAGCUCGUAGUUGGAUUUCUGCCGAGGACGACCGGUCCGCCCUCUGGGUGAGUAUCUGGCUCGGCCUGGGCAUCUUCUUGGAGAACGUAGCUGCACUUGACUGUGUGGUGCGGUAUCCAGGACUUUUACUUUGAGGAAAUUAGAGUGUUUCAAGCAGGCUUACGCCUUGAAUACAUUAGCAUGGAAUAAUAAGAGAGGACCUCAGUUCUAUUUUGUUGGUUUCUAGAGCUGAGGUAAUGGUUGAUAGGGAUAGUUGGGGGCAUUCGUAUUUAACUGUCAGAGGUGAAAUUCUUGGAUUUGUUAAAGACGAACUACUGCGAAAGCAUUUGCCAAGGAUGUUUUCA